rnacentral:rRNA from 1 species
UACAGAGGUCUCAAGCGUUUGUUCGGAUUCAUUGGGCGUAAAGGGUGCGUAGGCGGCGCGGUAAGUCGGGUGUGAAAUCUCGGAGCUUAACUUCGAAACUGCAUUCGAUACUGCCGUGCUUGAGGACUGGAGAGGAGACUGGAAUUUACGGUGUAGCGGUGAAAUGCGUAGAUAUCAGGAGGAACACCGGUGGCGAAGGCGCCACUCUGGGCCGGUACUGACGCUGAGGAGCGAAAGCGUGGGGAGCAAACAGG